rnacentral:lncRNA from 1 species
GGGCGGUCAGCAAUCUGUAACUUGGAUCGCAGAAAAUUAAACUUCUCUGAAGGCAGCGGCUUCGUAAAAAUAUCAGCAAUUUGAUCCCCUGUUGAGAUGAACUUUACAUUGAGUUUGCCCUGUGAGACUUGUUCGCGAACAAAGUGGUAAUCGACUUCAACAUGUUUGGUGCGGGCGUGAAAGACUGGAUUAGCAGUGAGAUAGGUAGCGCCAAGAUUGUCGCACCAAAGAGUAGGAGCUCCACUGUCCAACCCGAGUUCAUGAAGAAGUGAUUUGAGCCAAAGUAAUUCAGCAACGGUGUCUGCAAUGGCUUUGUAUUCUGAUUCUGUUGAAGAGCGAGAAACCCGCAGUAUACGUUUGACAGCGGACCAGUGAUUCUCGGUAGGAGCAUGCAUGAAUUGACAAACCCGAUUAACGGCAAAGGCAAUGUCUGGUCGAGAAAGAGUAGCAUAUUGAAGAGCUCCAACGGUUUGCCGGUAACGAGAGGGAUCAUCAAGUAAAGGGCUGUCAUCGGGAAGGAGCACAUGAGAGGUGCUCAUGGGAGUAGAGAUGGGCUUGCAAUCUGCCAAACCAGCCCG